UUUCACCGCCAGGCAUGGAAUCAGAAAGGAAGGAAAGGAUGGAAAGUCGAACCAGGCAUGGAAUCAUCAGCGUCAGGUUAGGUUCUAUAUUGUUAGCCAUGGAAUCAUCUUCUUCUUUUGAGGUUAUCGUCUUCGCCGUCGAUCGAUCAUGCCCGAUCGAUCAACCAUAGAAAUCAUCAAGGGAGGGAAAUGCAACCCAUCCCCGCUCCAUUGGCUACUUUACUUUACUAACAUGUUAAUUAUAUUAUGACAGACAGAAAGACUAUUUUACUUUACUAGUUAUGGAUGGAUGAAUGUGACCUCUCAACGAGGAAGGAAGCUUUGUGCCCUCACAAGUCCAUUUACAACUUUGUGCCCUCACUCCCUGAAGGAACAACAAGGAUAGCUUAUCGCUCGCUUAAAUAUUAAAAUUGGGCUGAGGCAGUGGAUAGCUAGAAGAUUUUGGGCAGAUCUUUAUUAGUAGAUAUGUUUUUAUUGUAUGAGUACAUUAUGUGUCUAAUGAAAUGUUGACAGUAAAUCUAAACUUAUGAGUUUGUAAAAAUUUGAAGGACUUCUUAUGGUUAAGAUUAUGGAAUGUUAAGUUUAAUUUGUGUAAUGAUAUGAAUUUAUGGUAAACGUUGGUUUUUUGAUUGUA